rnacentral:lncRNA from 1 species
AUCAUAACCCAGGAGGGGAGGCAACAGCACUUGGCAAACAAAUUUACACUAAGUGCACUUCCCUGGAAAUGUUUAUACUCUACCGCUGAGAAAUGUGGCGAUAGAGCAGCACGGCGCCGGUGGAGCAAAGGAUGCUGCAUUGAGCCAGCUCCCAGCCAAAGUGGGUUUGGGGGCACAGGGAAAGGUGGUGGUGGUGUCACCCUCCCCAACUAGCAGGGGAUGUUCGCCUCAGGACAGAGGGGUGAGGGAUAGCAGUGCACCCCUUAAGGGUUGGAAGUGUGUAGGGAUGGUUUGGGGAGAUCUGGGGUGAUAACCAUUGGGACCAUGCGUACUCAAAAGCCUCACCUCUGUCUAUGUCUCCUGUCGGCCAUCAGGGUUAUUUGACCUUCAUUGAGUGGUCUGUAGAUGGGGCUGGGAUCUCCAAGUAGUACCACAGUGCAAAUAGGUAUGGUGUGAUCCUGUGUGAUAGGGAAAGCUUUUUCACGGUGCUGGUUGCAUUCCAGCAAGGAGGAAAGGUCUAUGGACAGAAAUGCAAGGGCUUUGUAGAUGUCCCAGUGUUCCUGGAGCAGGAGACUUCAGAGGGUGCGUACCCUAAUCUAAUUGCUAAUUACUAGGCAAGUAACCCCCACAAAAAUAUACAUAUAGCUUUUAAAAAGAGCACAUAGUGGGCUUACAUAGCACGUGUGUGCACGCAUGUAUUUUUGUGCUGAGGGGGUAGAGAGUUCUUGGCUAAGUAGGUAGAGCCAAAUGGCAGGUGACUCAAAUGCUACCCCUAUUUCUGUCCCCAUUUCAGUGAUGCCACUUGGGGUGACUCACUUGCUGUCUCCACGUCUCCUCUUCAUCAGCUGAAGAUAACUCCUACUGGGAUACACCAAUCCUUGGUGUGCUUCAGCAUCUGGAAGAUCCUAAGAGGAAUGACACAGAGCGAUGGGAAGCACAGGCACAAUCCUGAACAUCUCCAUACCUGUGUGGGUUUUUUGCUGAGCCUUCCAAGUCCAGCAGGUAGAUCCUGGCGAACGAGAAGACUUUUUAUUUUUUUGGCCUGGAAGUGAAUUGUUUGGAAUUUUUUAAGAUUUUUUAAAAUUAUUUUUAGUUUUCAUUAAAAGCAACCAUUUCAAGUAUGUACGGAUCACACGGGUGUUUUAUAGUCAAAACAAUAACAGUAACUGCAAGAGGUGCCAGACUGGAACAACCUCUUCUGCACUAAUCAAAAGGAAAGAAGAAAAAAAGGUGCUUUUGAGAUAUAGAUUGAAUUCCAUUGUCUUUGCAUGUUAUAUAAGGAAAAAGAGAAAAAUCUAGCAAUGGAUAGCAGGCAUCCCCUACAAGAGACUUUCAGAGGAAUUGACUUAAAAAC